GCCCGCCUAGCUCAAUCGGAUAGAGCGUCAGACUCUUACUGAGGCGGAUGGAGAUGGAGAUUACAUCCAACUGUCAACUGUAAUCUGAAGGCUGCGAGUUCGACCCUCGCGGUGGGCU